rnacentral:rRNA from 1 species
AUGAGUGGCGAAUGGGUGAGUAAUAUAUCGGAACGUAUUAUUCAGUGGGGGAUAACGUAGCGAAAGUUACGCUAAUACCGUAUAUUUUGUGAGUAGGAAAGCAGGGGAUUGUAAGACCUUGCGCUGAUUGAGCGGCCGAUAUUAGAUUAGUUUGUUGGUGAGGUAAAAGCUCACCAAGGCGAUGAUCUGUAGCGGGUCUGAGAGGAUGAUCCGCUACACUGGAAUUGAGAUAUGGUCCAGACUCCUACGGGAGGCAGCAGUGGGGAAUUUUGGAUAAUGGGGGUAACCCUGAUCCAGCCAUGCCGCGUGAGUGAAGAAGGCCUUUGGGUUGUAAAGCUCUUUUAGCCGGGAAGAAAACGCAUGGGUUAAUACCCUGUGUGGAUGACGGUACCGGAAUAAGAAGCACCGGUUAACUACGUGUUAGUAGUUGUGGUAAUACGUAGGGUGCGAGCGUUAAUCGGAAUUACUGGGCGUAAAGCGUGCGCAGGCGGUUUUGUAAGACAGGCGUGAAAUCCCCGGGUUUAACCUGGGAACUGCGUUUGUGACUGCAAGGCUAGAGUACGGCAGAGGGGGGUGGAAUUCCACGUGUAGCAGUGAAAUGCGUAGAGAUGUGGAGGAAUAUUAAUGGUGAAGGUAGCCCCCUGGGUCGAUACUGACGCUCAUGCACGAAAGCGUGGGUAGUAAACAGGAUUAGAUAUCCUGGUAGUCCACGCUUUAAACGAUGUCAACUAGGUGUUGGGAGGGUAAAACCUUUUAGUACUGGAGUUAAUGUGUGAAGUUGACCGCCUGGGGAGUACGGCCGUAAGGUUAAAACUCAAAGGAAUUGACGGGGACCCGCACAAGCGGUGGAUGAUGUGGAUUAAUUCGAUGCAACGCGAAAAACCUUACCUACCCUUGACAUGCCAAGAACUUUCCAGAGAUGGAUUGGUGCCCGAAAGGGAACUUGGACACAGGUGCUGCAUGGCUGUCGUCAGCUCGUGUCGUGAGAUGUUGGGUUAAGUCCCGCAACGAGCGCAACCCUUGUCGUUAAUUGCCAUCAUUUAGUUGGGCACUUUAACGAGACUGCCGGUGAUAAACCGGAGGAAGGUGGGGAUGACGUCAGGUCCUUAUGCCCUUAUGGGUAGGGCUUCACACGUCAUACAAUGGUCGGUACAAAGGGUCGCCAAGCCGCGAGGUGGAGCCAAUCCCAGAAAGCCGAUCGUAGUCCGGAUCGCAGUCUGCAACUCGACUGCGUGAAGUCGGAAUCGCUAGUAAUCGUGGAUCAGAAUGUCACGGUGAAUACGUUCCCGGGUCUUGUACACACCGCCCGUCACACCAUGGGAGCGGGUUCCGCCAGAAGUAGGUAGCCUAACCGCAAGGAGGGCGCUUACCACGGCGGGGUUCGUGACUGGGGUGAAGUCGUAACAAGGUA